UACGGGGGGGGCAAGCGUUGUUCGGAAUUACUGGGCGUAAAGCGCGCGUAGGCGGACCUGCAAGUCGGGGGUGAAAGCCCGAGGCUCAACCUCGGAACUGCCUUCGAUACUGCGGGUCUCGAGUCCGGGAGAGGUGAGUGGAAUUCCGUAGUGUAGAGGUGAAAUUCGUAGAUAUUAGGAAGAACACCAGUGGCGGAAGGCG
rnacentral:rRNA from 1 species